UAUCUUUCCAACACACUAGUACUAACGUUAUGUGCAUCUGUAUGUGUGUGUGUGUAUGUUUGUUUGUGUGUCUGAGUCGAUAGCUACGUCGGAUGGUUUGUGCCUUCGCUAAAGUUGCGGAAAACCUUUUUCCCGGAAAAUUUCCCGACAUCUCUUUCACCACUCUCGUGGAAAUUUCGAAAAUUUCCCUUUUUCACCUCUGAUAAGAGGUUUUUUCACCGGCACAAAAACAAAUGCACAGGCGUUAAGCACGACCUGUGGUAAGAAUGCGACAACCUAUCCUGCAACACAAAUCAUCCCUUGUCAUUGACGGCAAACCUUGGAUUUGUUUGUCAAUUUUAAGCACUGUUGCAUUAAGCGAAGGGAGACAGGCUAUGCCGGGUAGCUUGUCAACGGUGAUUUAAGAUUGGGAUCGGAGGUUUUUGUUAUGAUCUCGUCAGCUGAGUUUGAGAAGGACGAAGAAAAUUUUACUGGAUGUUGAGAAUUGAAUGCCUGUAUAUGUAUUGCAUGAAUUUAAUCAUCGUUCUUUAUGUUUGUAGAGCGUUUAAAGGAAAAUUGUUUUUUUUUGACCUUAUUUCGUUACUAGAAGAAUAAACUUGUUGAUUUUCAGACUGUGAACCACUUAUGAAUUGAUCAGCACGAUCGGUUUAGUUACAUACAAACAAAUUUAGUUUGUGUUUAUUUUUUUUACAGAUUUUACGUUAAACUUCUAUUAAUCUCCAACAUAUCUUAUUACCCGUCAGAUAAAUCUCCAUCGCAUAAUUGAACUCCAAUGAUCACUAAACCAUCCUAUUAGAUAGCAAUGAAAAAGCUAAGGAAGCUAAAACUAGUGUUCUAUUAAGGUAAAGCUAGGAGAAACAAGCAGUAGUAAAAGAGCAGCAAUAAGGAUGAGCAAUUCCAAAUUCUUUCCUACUUACCUUCAUUCUUACCUAUUUUCCAUGUUAUAUUACCAGUGUUUUAUGGUGUGGAAACUAUGUCGCCUUAUGUCUUAUGAUACUACAAUCUUAUACUUCCUUGAGAACGGAACUGUUGCUCUAAAACACUGACUUUAAUGAUUAUAAGAUUUGUACGCAUAUACUAAUGUUGUGUUAGGGCGCUUUUUUGACUUAGCUAAGCCCUGUUGGAAUGCUUGUUACGAAUAAAAAGGGGAUUAAGAUACAAAGGGCUAAAAAUGUGAAUUUUCAGAACAUAUUUGUGCAAGUAAUUUUUGUAGCUAUUUUUACAAAUUCUCAUGCUGUAGCUCGCUUGCAAAUAUUUUUUUUCUUUUUCGCUAGGUAAGACAAGCACUUUGAGAGUCAACACAACAACGUUCACAUUAACUUCUCAUUGCUUUUGUGCCGGAUAUUUAAAUGGUUUGGGUUGCCAAUAGACAUUUUCUUGCCGAAUUGUCUGUGCAUAUGUAUUUUUCUACGAUACCGAUUGAGUCGAUUGUAGCAAUGGGUUAAUGCAAUUAUCAUUUUCUUCUAUCUAUAGUUUGCCACCUACGUAUUCAAACACAUGCAUGUUUAGCAUUUGCCCACUCACCCCCUAGAAUUACAACCGGCUAAAGUUUACAAACACUAUCUCAUGCGUCCGAUCCACCACACCAACACUUUGACAUGUAGCUUCCAUUCAAUUUCUUUGUCACAUAAAACGUAUCUGCGGUUGCCUGGAGCCGCUCGUUCCGCUCAUCCUACGUUUAAAACUCUCACACACACACACAUACACACACACACCUCACCAAACGCCACCACGUUUUGUGUUAGUGUGCGUGUCAUACCGUGGCUUGCUUACAUAUUCACAUACACCACCAAGAAAUAUGUAACUCGCACACCAGCUCAAUCCUAUCUACCACAUGAUGGUUGGUGUAUUGUAUUUACUUUGCGAACGUUUAGCUGCAAACGACAAAGGGGGUCAUGUUUUUCACUACUGAACAUUUUCCGCCUGCAGCCAUAGUAAGGGACCAACGUGUAGACCAUCUGACUAGGGCUCGUGUCUGGGACAGUUUUUCACCAAAACGUGUUCGAACGUUGCCGGGAAAACAUCGUUGUUACAAGGAACAUCAACCAUCGUUCGUGCAAAAUACAAGUCUUUGGAGUUUUGGGACGCACAGGUCCCAUGGUGUCGUGUGGAACAUAUUUGGUUCGGAUAUCGAGACUCAUUCAUCUCUAACUCUAGAAAAACACAACGUUAUAAACGUCAGACAUAGCCUGAUACUUGGCAAUGCUACUGCAGAACAAUAUAAGUUGCCUCCAGUUGCAUCACCAGUGGAAACCCUUUGGAACGUCGAUAACGUCGAGCUAACAACUGGGACGCACACAAUCUAAUCGUUAUGAUGCGAAAAGUUCAAACAAGCACUAGAAAACCAGAAACAUCUCUACAGAGAAUCAAUCGAGCUUUAAGAGGAAAGUAAAUUGUGAACUUUUUAAAUAUGAACAUGUGUUUCUCGAUCGUGUGUCCUAAAGACUGUGAAAGGCAAGAAAAUUUCCCAAAACAAAACCCCUAGAGGACAUCAUCCAGCUACAAUACAUUCAUGUGAGUAUAAAAUUAUAAAAAAAUAUUGUCUAUCUCAUACCUUGGAAUACAUUAUAAAACACUUGGUGUACUCAGCGUCUGGUGUCAGACCUUCAGUCCAGGUGCUGUUCCAAUUGCCUACGCGAGGCCCAUAAAAUUCGUCUGCAAUUGCAGACGGGUGUUGUUGUCUAAAACACACUGUCAGUUCAUCAAAAACAAUGCGGCACAGCAUACUGUCGCUGCUUCCACCUGUCUUCCUCACUAACACAUCAACAAAAAGCAUGUGGCGGGAUCAGGCAUUGACACGAGCCUUUAAACAAUUUCGAACCCUUGCAAACUUGCCAUCUCAUUCUACCGUACACUCAACCUUUCAUUCAUUCAUUCAUUCAUUUCCCCAUACAUCUAUCAACUCCCUUUCAUUAGUAUUUCGCCCACCGUGUUGAUAUAAGGCAUCUAAGCCUCGCGUUUCAGAGCAUGCGAGAACAUACUAAUGUAGCAAAUCAGUGAGAGAAUGUGCUGCGUGCGUGCGUGCGCCCGUGCGUGUUUACAUGUCAGCUGGUGAUCUGUCAUUUAUUCGUUCGCAGCGCAGUUUCGCCAUUAUGACCUGCUCCCAUCUCCUGCAUCACUCAGCUUUAAUUCAUUCGCAUCAUCUAUUCGUAGCGUAGAACAUUUUGUUUUUCUUUGACAUGUGUACUGGUCUAAGAAGGAUAGCAGGUAAACUUUUUAUUUAUCCUAAUGCAUGUGUGUUUAUUUCUCUUGAAUGGAAGCGCAUGUGGAACAAAAAGUUUUACCAAAAUAAAGCUCUUCUCAGACACUAAACCCACCGUGCCAGAUAGCUUUCAUAACACUCGAUUGCCUAUGAAACUAUUGAUGGAUAAUUGUUUUCCAUACAUGCCACUACACUAACAAUGUAGGAAUGCUGAAGCUUACCAGCACUGCGCGUUACACCCAAGCACGUUCAGUAAUUGCCAAAUUGAAAGGCAACAAUAAAAACCGAUAGCAAAGAUAGCAGAAUAUUUCGAACAAGGGCUGUUCCUUGGAAACUUCUUUCGCUUGCUGCUGUGGCUACCUCUCCUUUACAAGAAAGAAGAAAAUUUUCUCUCUCUCGGGUUUCGAUGUCCCACAACUACAAUCACGCACAGCUACAUACCCACAAAAAAAAACGGGAAUUGUGCAUGUAAAUGCUGUAAAAUCCGAAAUAGCGGCGAGAACCUGUUUUGUUGCUAUAAAAAUUGCUCUUUUUCAUUUCUUUACAUUACGCUGCUCCAGCGCCUGGUCUUAUGGUAGGCAGCGCAGGGAAACUAGUUACGAGAAGCGAGGAGGACGGUAAUAAGGUUCGCUUUUCGUCUUGCAUGUAUUGUGAUGGUAUUUGGAGUUGGAUUUUGUUCUGCUUUUUUCGUUCUUCUUCGUAUCGUAUUGCAGAAUAUUCCUACAUUAUCGCGUUGGGCCAAAGAAAUCAGAAUACCCUCCGCAUACAGAAGAUAGCGAAUAGUAGAUAGUCUAAAGAUGCGAUGUGGGUGUUAAAUUUGCAUAAGUAUGGAGAUGCCAUCGCUUGAUUCGCUCAGGAGGACGUUUGUGAGCGUGUGCAGUGUCUUCAUUUUGAGCAUAAUGCAGCUCCACGCUGUUUUGGAAAGAGUAAAGUAAGGUAUAAAAGAUUGUGGUGAUAGAACAUCAGUAUCCCAGAACAAUAAGAACAAUAAAAAUACUAAUCAAUAAAAGGCGGUUCAUGCUAACGAUUGUUUGGAAUCUAUAUCGCAACUAUACUAGAUCCGAUACAUAGCAUGUAUUAACACAUUUUGCACUUUGUAUCAAGUUGAAAAUAUUUACCAGCGUUUCAUUAUUGAUCCUAAACUAAAGUAGCAAUGUAAUGACAAGAUUAAAUGUUAUACAUUGCAAUACGAACACUUGGUUUGCAAUAUGUAAAAUUUUAUCUUAACUUUACUUAGCUACUUUAGUUUUGUUGUUCUACGCAAAGGGGAUCCUGGUCUAAACAAAAUUGGGAUCCACCGCAGAUUUGUUAAGCAGUUGCUUAUUGAAUGGACUGCAAGAAUAAGCUGAACAAUUAGUAAUCUUUUUUAACUAUAUUUGCAUAAUCUUUAAUUGAACCUUUUUGAACCUCUGUCGAGUUGAGCCAAUAUAACAGAUGACUAAGCGGCACUUUGUAAAGUAAAGCACAAAUAACCUUCUUUUGAAUCAGCUUUGCAGGUAAUAACAGCUUUGAAUCGUCAGCUCCAUAUUACAAUACUAAAAUUGUAUCGGAAGCGUGUUGCGAAAGGUAUAGUUGAGAUUUGAACGAGUUAUUUGAAUACUUGAGCAAUGCUUUUGUUUAAAGUUACGCUCGCAAAAAAAAACACUCUUACCCGCACAUAAAUGACCAUAGGUUCAAGGUUUUCCAGAGAGCAUUUUUACGUGCCGCGCCGAACAGAGGUGAGAGAAAGAGCGUUAUAACUGGUCUGAGAAUGAGGCAGGAAAGUAAAUAAGCAGAAAACAGAAAAGAAAUGGGGAGCCAAAGGUACGUUGGUAUUCCGUACGAGAGCCGAAAACAUUUGACUCCCAACAUUCUCGGCACAACCUAUCAAAUCUAACAUUAUUACACACUCGAGGAAAAUCCUGAACCCGUUCGAUACACUCUGCAAGAAAGAUCCCUAAGGGCAGCGACUGAUAAAUCGAAUUGGCGCAAACAGCACCAAGCAACCCAUUUCUGCAACGAGAAGGUAUGGGAUAAACGGAUCGACAGGCGAAUCGACGACGAACGAAUUAAGAACUGAAUACAAGCAUCAAUGACAUUUCGUCGGGACAAGAAAACCCCAGUAAAGUGUGUUGCGUCCAUGGUACCGCUCCACGUUGCGCUACUCCCGAACCCGAAACACUGCCAACACUGGUAACGUCGACGUUCGCAUCAUGAGAACGAUUUCGUUCCGUUUCAUCAAUUGGUCCAUUUUGUUUCGGCUGAUGUCGUGCAUUCUUCUUUUUUUUUCAAUUUCAAACCCAACGCUAUGUGUGCACAUCUGGCUACUUCAAACGAUCGAGUGUAACCCUUCGAAUGAUAUGACAGAAUGUUCAUGGUGCUCGAAAUCGUCAAAUCUUCUUGCCCACCUAAGCUGUGAAAGGUAAAUUUGAGUAUAUUUAAAAUAUUUUAUUUGCAGACUCACUCACUCCCUCACUCCCAACAGAGGAGCGGCAAUUGUUCUUCGCCGAAAUAGGUGCCAUUAUUUGUUUCCAAGGCAAUGAAGAUUAUGGGUGAGCCUUGUAACUAUAGUACAAAAUCUUUUCAUAAUGUUUUUACUCUAAAGUAGUGUAUCCCAUGUUUGGGUUACUUUCUCUAAUGAGAUAUGCUCCCUGUGCACGUAUUUUAUUAUCUUCCGUAUAAUUUUAUGUAAGUGUUUGGCGAUAUAUUAUACAGCAUAUUUUACAAUCAACUGCAAGACUUCUUUACUUAAGAAGCUUUGAAAUAGCAAACCAAAGACGAUGCUUGUGAGACUCACAGGUGGCCGGGCAUCUGGUAUUAUAACGUUUCAUAAUUUCUGUACACAUAUUGGUAGACACUCUGGAUCGUAGAAGGAAGCUGUGCGCGAGCUGUAGAAGGGGACCAAAAAAUGAAAAAAGGAAAAAACAUUCAACGACCACUAGCGGAUGAAAUGAAUCGACGGCGGCAGGCGAGAGGCGACCAUCCCAAUCGAGAUUUUCUUCAGUUCCUGUUUCCGACAUCACCGCCGGUCGUCAAAGAUCCCACUUAACGCCAAAAGCGCACGCGCGCUGGGGCGCUUAGAGGUGUGCGUGCUGACUCACAUAAUCAUUUCCGAAUUCUUUCUCUCCAGCAGUAUUUGGACAGUCUUCCGUCGCACUCUCUCCUGGCAUCCAGUCAGCAGCUGGGGUGAUUUUGAUAGCCCGAGAGAGCAAAGCCCGCUCUUUCUGUGUGUGUGUUUUUUAUUGAUGAAGCUGAACCUUUGUCAAUUGCCGGUAGCUACUUCUGCCGCUAUUGUGGUGUAGCGUUUUCGGUCGUCUCUCGCAGCGUUUUGGUGCGGACAGUGUAUGCAACACGCUACACUCUCACAACCUAGCCACACGGCCAACAGAACACAUCGUCGUCAUCUUUAACGCCAUCGCAGCGGGCCACUCGACUGCUCUCGUUGUCAUCAGGAUCGUUCCUGUGAUUGCUGCUCAUACUCACCCCCAGUUUCUACAACACUUGUGUUCGGUUGUUACGGCUGUAUGAUGUGAUUUUGUUUUCUACAGUUUCCACAGUACAGUACACGGUAUCAGUGAAACCAAAUCGCAAUAUCUGAAUGAACCGAGCCGCUCACAAACGUUUGUGUGUGAAAUAAAACUUGGACAUAUUGAGCACAGUUCAGUGGAACAAUGUGUAGAUUUCUUCUGUUGGUUAGAUUAAAACAAUACUUUUUUUUACAAUUUGUGCACUUCUUUUUACACUACCGAUUUCGCAAAUAUGAAGACCUCGGAGAAAAGUAAAGUUAGUGUGGUGAAUAUAUGUAUAUAAUUGUAUACACAUAUAUAAAUGGCUACCGUUCAAGUCAGUGCUCCUUUAUCAGUUUACCAUGUGAUUCUGAGUGUUGUUCUAGUGCAGCUUCAUGAACGUAUACUGAAUGUAUCCUGAGUGCUACUUAUCCGGUAUACCUUCAGUAUACGUAACAAGAGGCGACACAAUCAUCGUUGCUGUUGGUGUUUCCUGGCGAAGUGUUGUACAAUCGUUGACACCUUGAAUUGUUGAACACAUUACAAGUGAAUUUAUUACGUCGUCAAUAUACAUACACCAACAAGAUAAAUACUGGUAUCGAUGGAUACCAGCGUAAGUAUCCCAUUCUGCUGACAUUCUGCGUUUGUACCAUUGUCUUGUCUCUAGCUCCACAGGUAUCAGUCGGGUGGCGUUUUUCAAUCGUGUGUGCGUAUCUGGAAAAUGUGAAACGCUACCGGGACAGGUCGGAACACAGACAAGACACAUUAUGCACAUCAUAACAAAUCAUGAAGGUCGCUUAAAGAUGAAGCAUAGUAGAAAUGAGAAAUGAUAUUGCGUUCAAAACCUCAGAGCCGUCCCGGAUUCAGAGAGGAAAAGUGAGAGAGUGAGAAAGCGAGCAAGCAUAGUCAAUAGUAGAGUUAGAAAAGAAAGCAGAGGGCACGUUUUCAUAGCCAAGAGUAGCAAAGGCGAACACUAGUAGGUUGUGGCGAGCAUAGCCAAGUCUGUCAAUCGGAAGAUUUUAUUGCGGUUGCCUAUAAGGUAUUAGUAGAAAAAUUGAAACUACAUAUAAUUUAGCAAGGUAGCUCUGAAACAAUGUCUAUGCAUAUUUCUUCAUAGAGUUCACAACUAGUGUGAAGCAGAACCAUUGCCGUUAUCCUAGCCCAGAGAUCAUCGCGUUCAAUGAGAAAUUUUCAACUGACAGGCGCACUGACGAAGGUUUGCCAACUCUUACGCACGCACACAGCUUCGAGAAUAUAAGCUCGUUUUUUUGUUUUGUUAUCCUUACUGUACUGGCGGCAGACUACAAUAUCAAAUAAACUACUGCCUUUCGGUCCCUUGAGAUACGUUGGUGAAAUGAAUAUGUAAUGUUAUAUUAAUAUUAAAUUUUUGUUGGAAUAAAGCUUUUUGUGGAAUACAUAACACCAAA